CCUACGGGGCGCAGCAGUGAGGAAUAUUGGUCAAUGGACGCGAGUCUGAACCAGCCAAGUAGCGUGAAGGAUGACUGCCCUAUGGGUUGUAAACUUCUUUUAUAUGGGAAUAAAAUGUUCCACGUGUGGCUUUUUGUAUGUACCAUAUGAAUAAGGAUCGGCUAACUCCGUGCCAGCAGCCGCGGUAAUACGGAGGAUCCGAGCGUUAUCCGGAUUUAUUGGGUUUAAAGGGAGCGUAGGUGGAUUGUUAAGUCAGUUGUGAAAGUUUGCGGCUCAACCGUAAAAUUGCAGUUGAAACUGGCAGUCUUGAGUACAGUAGAGGUGGACGGAAUUCGUGGUGUAGCGGUGAAAUGCUUAGAUAUCACGAAGAACUCCGAUUGCGAAGGCAGCUCACUAGACUGCAACUGACACUGAGGCUCGAAAGUGUGGGUAUCAAACAGGAUUAGAUACCCGUGUAGUC
rnacentral:rRNA from 1 species